AAACCAUACACCGAACAUUUUUUAAUUAGCUCCUUGAAAUGUUCCCAUGCUUCAUAUAAUGUUUCAUCUUCUGAUUGCCUAAAAGAUGUAUUGUGAUUUCUAAGCUU
rfam:Gossypium arboreum cultivar AKA8401 contig_35818_3, whole genome shotgun sequence.